rnacentral:tRNA from 1 species
GCCACUGUAGCUCAGCGGUAGAGCACUCGAUUCGUAAUCGAGCGGUCGUCGGUUCGAUCCCGACCAGUGGCU